AACGCACCUUGCGCUCCUUGGUAUUCCGAGGAGCAUGCCUGUUUGAGUGUCUUGAAGUCAUCAACCCCCGACGCUUUUGCGAGCGGACGGCGGGUUGGACCUGGGGGACCUGCCGCUCGCUCUGCUUGCGGCUCCCCUCAAAUGCUUCGGUUGGGCCUGUGGGUCGAACUCGGCUGGGCGUUGUACCAUCCUCGCUCCGAAGAGACGUUCCCCUGUGCGAGCCCCUCCACGACCUGCCCGCGGGGUGGCGGUCAACACAUGAAAUUCUGACCUCAAAUCAGGUAGGACUACCCGCUGAACUUAA
rnacentral:misc_RNA from 1 species